rnacentral:lncRNA from 1 species
UAGUUUCCAGAUCUGUAACCCUGCCCUCCAGACUAUAUAAGGAGGGGCAAGGGACCCCCCUAGGACAGAUCAUAUUCUCUCAACACAAAUCAAUACAACCAGACGCAGGACGUAGGUAUUACGCCAACUCGGCGGCCGAACCUGGAUAAAAAGCUUGUCCGUGUCUUGCGUCACCAUCGAGUUCGUAGUUUGCGCACCGUCUACCGACGAACUACUACCGUGGGUAUACCCCAAGGUAGACUGCCGACUAGCUUUCGUCGACAGUGGCGCGCCAGGUAGGGGGUGUGCGUGCAACUUUUCCGGCGAACAAGAUGGUCACGAUCCCAGCUUCCGCGACCGUGCCCGAAGGCCUCACGUUCACCGUCGGCCAGAUCACGUGGACGACGUGCAGCGGCGGCUUCGCGACCACGGUUCCGAAAGAGAUCCAGAUCCAAUCUGAGAUCGCGCCGUCUCCGACCACACGCAUGACGGCACCAAGCGUCCGACCACCGUUCCCACUCUACAAGGGAAAGGAGAUCGACUGCUCGGACCUUCUCCAAGCGCUCGAUCGCGCUGACUCCAAGCUACUCGAAGUCUCCCAACUAAUAGAUGGAGUUCUGCGCCGGCCCGACCAAGCUGCUCGAGCGGAUUUUUCGAAAUCCCGCCGGCCAACUCGUGUCGCCACACACGAACGGCUGGGAACGUCCCUGACGAUAACCUCAACCCCCUCAGGACGAUCCGUCGAGCUCAAGAAGGAAGACUAUCCUUGCGGCCUGAACAACUCGGCCUCUGUUUACUCACAGCAUGUCCAAUCCGUUUUCAGCAAGGCGGGUUGGUCGCCGACAAGGAACAAUCGUCACCAUGUCAACAUGGUGACAAUCCGAGAGCUACGGGACGGCCGGGUUUCCAGCACCAACUCAAGCACCGGCUCCGUCCCCACCGAGGUUAUAAACACCGAAGACGAGGGCUACGACCUGGAUUUUCCUUCACACCCUCCGGGUUUCGACCGAUUCCCGAUAUUCCCCCCCCCGGCGAGGGGAUAUUGUGUUCAAUGUCAGCGCCGAUGAACCGGCCAUUGACGGAGAAACAGAUGACCAGAGGCAACUCCGCGAACAGCAUAACGCCGAUCGCGCCCGACGACGUGCGGACGAGCAACAACAGAUGCCACCAAAUAACCUCAACGAUGCCUUUGACAUGGUCGGGGACCAGCCAGUCUACAAAACGCCAAGCGCCAACGUGGCUGUCGCCAUGGCUAACCUGGAUCGGCUUCCUGACACCCCCGAAUGCCAGGGAGUCCGGACCAGCAUCCGAGCACACCUGAUCGCCGCAAUGGGACAGACAGCCACUCUGCUCAAGAGAGUCCAGGACGUUUCUUAUACGGAAGCCGCCUCCGACCAGACUAAUCGUAGCCAGGUCUCACCCAGCAGGCGUCACCGCAGCCGCUCCCCCGACAACCGUCGAGGGGACUCGCGGCGCGACGAUGGUGGUCGGGACGCCGAUGGCCGCCGCAAGCAGAACCGCGUACGCGGCCAAGAAGAAGAUCAACACAGGGAUCUCCGCCACAACAUCCCUUCCAAAGAUGCCCGGGACCGCAUCAACAGGCGCGCCGCAGAGAGAGCAGUCCACGAAAACCUACGCCGCAUCGAGUACGAUGCAACCCACGGUCCUCCGGGCCUAAGACAGUUCUCCUCACACCUCCGCCAGGUCGUGUGGCCCCGCAAUUUGAAGCUCGAAAAACUUAAAAAAUACGACGGCAAGGAAAAUCCAGAGAACUGGAUCACCCUCUAUGAAAUCGCAGUCCGAUCAGCGGCAGGAGAUGAGCACGUCAUGGCUAAAUACUUCCCCGUAGUCCUCGACCAGGCUGGUCAUCAGUGGCUUCUCGGCUUGCCCGAGGACUCCUUCGACUCUUGGGAAGAGCUACGCCAGGCUUUCAUCGACAACUUCAUCGCCACAUGCGAGCAGCCUGGAAACAAGUAUGACCUUGAAAGAAUAAGGGACAGGAAGAAUGAACCUCUACGCGAUUACAUCCGACGAUUUUCGGAUAUGCGCCUCAAAAUCCCGAAGAUUUCUCAUGACGAGGCCAUCUCAGCCUUCAUCAAGGGCUUGCGUUUCCACGAAGCGCUGAGGAACAAGCUGUUGCGUAAGCGCCCAUCAACGGUAGCAGAGCUCCUCACCACGGCCAAAAAUUACGCCGAUGCCGAUGACGCAGAAAAACUAAUCCGAGACGAUGCGAGAGGCCCCGACCAGCCUCCCCGGCGAGAUGACGGUCGUGGUCGCUACGACAACAGAAAUCACCGCCACUCCGACAACCGCGAUCACCGAGAGGGUUGGGAUCGGCGGCGCGACAGCCGCGACGACUUCAGAGGAAAGCGCCCUCGCGACUACGACCACGAAGUAAAUACGGUCAAACGUCCCAAUGGACGACGGGACUACCAAGAAGACUACAACAAAACGUUGAAGGGACCAUGCCAGCUACACCCAAAGUCCAAUCAUACCAUGGAAGAGUGCCGCGUCCUCAAAAGUAUCUAUACACGGCGGGCCGCCCAAGAGGACUCCGCCAAGAAAAAUAACAAGCGCGACGGGCACGACCACGAAGAUGAGGAUGAGGACCAAGAUAGGGACCCUCGACACCAAUACGUCAGCCCCACUGACGUGGUCCACUCCAUUUUCGGGGGCAAGGUCUCCACUGAGUCCAAGCGAGAAAGAAAGCUGUUAAAGAGAGCCUGCCUCAACAUAGACAGCACGGACGGGCUGAUCGCAGAUCCGAAAUUUCCCACGUGGUCCCACAGGGAGAUCUCGUUCAGCAGAAAGGACCAGUGGGCCACUAUCCCAGAGCCGGGUCGUUUCCCACUGAUUCUUGACCCCUGCAUCAACAGCAUCAGAUUCGAGCGCGUGCUCGUGGACGGGGGAAGCUCCAUCGACAUCCUCUUCCGCAACAGCCUGCCCGCCCUCAAGAUAUCACCGGCACAACUAAAACCUUACGACGCCCAAUUCUGGGGGGUUUUGCCAGGUCAAAGUUCAGUGCCCCUCGGACAGAUAACAUUGCCUGUCCAAUUCGGCACACCCGACCACUUCCGGACGGAGUUCAUCAACUUCAUAGUCGCGGAUUUCGACGGGACCUAACACGCCAUACUGGGCCGCCCAUCGCUGACAAAGUUCAUGGCAGUCCCGCACUACUCAUACCUGGUCCUUAAGAUGCCCACGGAGAAGGGCGUCCUAACCGUCAGAGGCAACGUCUACACUGCGUACACCUGCGAAGAAGAAAGCUUCAAGAUCACCGAGGCAAUCGACCUCUCAAUCCGCAUGGCGGAAACAGCAAACCAAGCCGCACAGCUACCUCCCGACCAGCUCCAAUUACCCGAACAGGCGACAGCCAGGAAGAACUCAAAAUCCAAGGAGUACAAAGAAGUGCAGCUGGUCGAAGGCAACCCCGAGAAAACAGCCCUCAUCGGGGCCAACCUGGAUCCAAAAUAGGAAGACGCGCUCGUCAGGUUUCUAAGGGACAACGUGAGCGUUUUCGCAUGGAAACCCGCAGACAUGCCCGGUGUCCCACGAAACCUGAUCGAGCACUCCUUAAAUGUCUCGAAGACCGCAAGACCAAUCAAGCAAAAACUGCGACGGUUCGCUCGUGACAAAAAGGAGGCUAUUAGGGCAGAAAUAACACGGCUUCUAGCAGCCGGAUUCAUAAAAGAAGUGUAUCACCCCGAUUGGCUCGCCAAUCCGGUUCUUGUACGCAAAAAGAAUAAUGAAUGGAGAAUGUGCGUUGAUUACACUGAUCUUAACAAACACUGUCCUAAAGAUCCUUUUGGUCUCCCUCGCAUUGACGAGGUGGUCGACUCAACGGCCGGAUGCGAACUCCUCUCCUUUCUAGACUGCUACUCUGGUUAUCACCAAAUCUCGCUAAAGGAAGAGGAUCAGAUCAAAACAUCCUUCAUCACACCCUUCGGCGCAUACUGCUACACGACCAUGUCUUUCGGACUCAAAAACGCCGGGGCCACUUAUCAAAGGGCCAUCCAGCAAUGCCUCCACGACGAGAUUCGCGAUGACCUCGUCGAGGCCUAUGUGGACGACGUGGUCGUAAAAACAAGGGACGCGAGCACCCUAAUCGACAACUUAGACCGAACCUUCAAGGCACUCAAUAGGUACAAGUGGAAGCUCAACCCCAAGAAAUGCAUUUUCGGCGUUCCUUCCGGUCUACUGCUCGGCAACGUCGUCAGUCGCGACGGCAUACGACCAAACCCUUCAAAAGUCAAAGCCGUACUCGACAUGCGACCACCGAAGAACGUCAAGGACAUUCAGAAGCUAACCGGAUGCAUGGCCGCCCUCAGUCGUUUCAUCUCAAGGCUGGGAGAAAAAGGCCUCCCUUUCUUCAAACUAUUGAAAGCGUCAGAAAAAUUUUCUUGGACAGAGGAAGCCGACGCUGCGUUCACUCAGCUUAAGACCUUCCUCACUUCACCACCUGUCCUCACAGCGCCUCAACCCAAUGAAGACCUACUUCUUUACAUUGCUGCAACCGACAGGGUUGUUUCCACGGCAAUAGUGGUCGAGCGAGAUGAACCAGGUCACGCCUACAAGGUCCAAAGACCCGUUUACUUCAUAAGUGAAGUCCUAAACGAGUCCAAGGCCAGGUAUCCACAAAUACAGAAGCUCAUAUACGCCAUUCUGAUAACAUCAAGAAAGCUGAAGCACUACUUCGACGGCCAUCGAGUCCUGGCGACAACUAGUUUCCCUCUCGGGGACAUCCUGCGCAAUAAAGACGCCAAUGGCAGAAUCGUGAAAUGGGCGAUGGAAUUGUGCCCAUUUUCGCUGGAGUUCCAGAGCCGAACUACGGUCAAGUCUCAGACCCUGGUCGAUUUCAUUGCUGAAUGGACGGAUCUCAAUGAGCCUCCCGUUCCCGAUGUCUCAGACCACUGGUCAAUGUUCUUUGAUGGGUUCUUGAACAUCAACGGUGCCGGCGCUGGGAUACUGUUCGUAUCACCCAACAAGGACAAGCUGCGUUACGUCCUUCGGAUCCUUUUUCCGGCGUCAAACAACGUCGCCGAAUACGAAGCAUGCUUGCAUGGCAUAAGACUAGCCGUUGAACUGGGGGUCAAGCGCCUCUAUGUCUAUGGCGACUCCGCUUUGGUCAUCAACCAGCUCAACAAGGAGUGGGACGCAACCCACGAGAAGAUGGAUCUCUACUGCAAAGAAAUUCGCAAAUGGGAAACCAACUUCUAUGGCAUAGAAUACAUCCACGUGGUUCGGGAUAAGAACCAAGCAGCAGAUGCGUUGUCAAAGUUAGGCUCAUCUCGGGCCCAAAUCCCGCGGGGUAUUUUCGUCCAGGACAUCCAUGAGCCGAGCGUAGGCUCCUCCCUGGUCGACAAGCAACCCACCGAGGCAAUGCUCAUAGACGACGCCACUCCGACAACCGGUGGGCGAGACUGGCGUACCCCGUUCAUCAAAUACAUAUCAGACAGGACAGGUUUUCAGGACAAAACAGAGAACGAGCGCCUCAUCCGACGAUCAAAGAACUACAUCCUGGUCGACGGAAAACUCAUGCGGAAAAACGCAAGCUCCGAAGUACUGCUCAAGUGCAUACCCCAAGAUGAUGGUAUCAAGCUCUUAGAGGACAUACAUGCUGGAUCCUGCGGCAAUCACGCCGCAUCUAGAACGUUGGUCGGAAAGGCUUUCCGAGCAGGUUUUUAUUGGCCAACCGCGGUCGGCGACGCAGAAAAACUGGUUCGACAUUGCGAAGGAUGUCAGUUUUUCGCUAAGAGGACCCACGUACCUGCCCAUGAAAUUCAAACCAUCCCGUCGUCUUGGCCCUUUGCUUGCUGGGGGCUUGACAUGAUCGGACCAUUUAAACCAGCCCCGGGCAAUUUCAAGUUUGUCUUCGUGUUAAUCGACAAGUUCUCCAAGUGGAUUGAAUACAUGCCCAUGGUCAAGGCAACCUCCGAGAAGGCUGUGGAGUUCCUCAAUCAAAUCAUACACAGAUUCGGCAUCCCGAACAGCAUAAUCACCGAUCUGGGCACUCAGUUUACUGGCACCACUUUUUGGGAUUUCUGCGAUGACAGAGGCAUAGUCAUAAAAUACGUGUCAGUGGCACAUCCACGUGCCAACGGUCAAGUUGAACGCGCUAACGGAAUGAUCGUUGACGCCCUAAAGAAAAGGUUGUACACCGAAAACGACAGCGCACCCGGUCGAUGGAUGAAAGAAUUGCCGGCAGUGGUCUGGGGCCUCCGAACUCAGACCAGUCGAAACACAUGGGUGUCUCCCUACUUCAUGGUGUACGGUGCAGAGGCGGUCCUGCCGUCCGACAUACACUUCGGAUCUCCUAGAAUCGAACACUUCGACCAGGCGACCGCCGACAACGCCAGAGAACUCGAAAUCAAUUGCAUGGAGGAAAAGCGUUUAGAUUCUUGUCUCCGAACAGCAAAAUAUCUCACGGCAGUCAGGCGAUACUACAACAGGAACGUCAAAGACCGUUCCUUUGUGGUCGGCGAUCUGGUACUUCGAUGGAAAACAAGCCAGGAGGGAAUGCACAAGCUAUCCACUCCCUGGGAAGGACCUUUCGUGGUGACCGAGGUCACACGACCCACAUCCUACAGAUUGGCAUACCCAGACGGAACACGAGUGCCUAACUCUUGGCACAUCGACAAACUGCGACGUUUCUAUCCAUAAAGUUUUGAUAAUUUUCCUUUGUAAGUAUCUUAUAAUUUUUGAUAAUGAAAUUCUCUAUUUUUUGCCUAUACCUUGUCGCACACAGCACUCGGCAAAACUCCUGCAAUGGAUGCUCCUAGCGACUACCGAGACGAAUACGGUGACACGUCACUCAGAUAUUCUUACAGCGCUCAAAACAACAGUCAUGACAAAAAAGCAAACUUUAUUACAAACUUUACACACAAAGUUUACAAUAAAUACCCUGACGGGCAGACACUAGUCUAUUCCUACAGACUACUUUAUUGGCCUAGCUGCUCGGGCUGAUCACCCGCCUGGCCCUGCUGCCCGGACGAAGGGGUCGGGGCCACCGGCGCCUGGCUGGUCGAGACCGCAGGCGUCGACCGCCCAUCUCCCGCAACGGACGCGCCCAACAACUCCCUGGCCGACCUAUCUGAACUCGGCUGGUCUGGAGGAGUGGCCGUUCCGCACAGAUUGAUGUCGCCGAUCACCGUCGACGACAAGUCCAGCAGACUACCCCGAAGUUCGUCCGCUUCCUGAGGGCCGACUUCCUUCGGGUACCCCUUUUCCAGCCUGCUCAAGUCGACCAGGGGGUAGUGGGCGCGCACCAUGCUGAGGACGUGCGCGCCGGCAAACUCCCCAGCGUCCUUCACAAACUGCUGGAGCCAGUCCCACGCCCGUUGCGCCUUCUCGACCGGGGUCAACUGCGGCGCGCGGGGCUGGCUCUCCGGGAGCUCGGGACUGAUCAGGUCUAGGACCGGGGACACUCCUUUCCAGAUCCUGCAACAGUUGACCUUCCAGGAGUCCCGGUCCUUGAUCAGAUCAUCCCGGUGCUUCUUGGCGUUCACCUUGACCACUGCAAACGAAACAAGGCGUUAUUUUCGGCAUACUAAACAAACAAAGGGGCGACAAGUAGCAGCUAACAAGGCGGCACCCAUUACCAGAUAAUUCCCGGUCCUUUCGUCCCAAUUCCUCUCCUGCUCGCCGCCCGGACUCCAGCGCACCGGCGAGCUGUUGGCUGAGCUGCUCCUUCUCUUGUCGGAGGCGCGCCACCUCCUCCUCCAAGUCUGUGUGAACCAUAAACUGGUCAGUAAAGCAAACUACACAAGUACGCAAAGCUGCUCGGAGCGUGUGACUAACCUUCUCGCUGCCGGUACUGGUCGGCCAAGCGACGAGUGAGGUCGAGACGACGCUCCUCCUGGACACUCAUCUCAGCCACCUUCUCCCCGACCUCCGAACGCAGCCGGUCUACCUCCGCGGCAAGGGCCUUGUUCUCGGCCAUGACGCCUUCUAUCUGGUCAAAGCACCGUUUCCGGUACUUUGCCGUUUUCAUUGCGCCCUACAAAGCGAGCAUAUAACGACCAUGCAAGACAAGGCAUAGAAUGUACAGCAGUACAAAAAGUCGCUUACCUUGACUUCGUCGACGAGGCAUUUGGCCGCGCGCUCCACCCUGGCAGCCUCUUCGGUCUCGGCGAGCUCCUCAUGACCGAUAAAGUGAUCCCCGCGUUGGCGCCACACAUACACGUGUUGGCGGCCAUCACGGGGACGACCCUCAAUCUCUUCCACCUCAUCAUCAGAGGCCGCACGGGUUUCCUCCUCCUGUGCUGCGUCACCCUCGGUGGUGGUCCCAGGUAUUACUGGUCCUCGGACCAGACCUGGGGAGCCCGCAGCCGAAGAGGCUCCUGCUCGGGGCGGCGUGGGGACUUCACUCCCCCUGGCAGGAGGAGCGGUCGGAGAUCUUCCCUCCUCUGGGGAGCAAGUUGGGGGAGCCUCUCCAGCCCUGGUCGGGCUGCCUGUCGUAGUCGGUGCCGCGGUCGGGAGCCCCUCGGUGCUCCCAGGCGCGACUGCAGCUGUUGGCUGCUCUGUGGUCUGGGGGGCCGUAUCCUCAGCAGCGUGGACUGGCUCGCCCGUCCCCUGGCUGGCAGCCUGGCCGGGGUCGACAUCCGACGCCGCACUACAGGAACAAAAGUGUAAUUUCAAAAAAAAAAAUAAUAAUAAAAAAUCAAAGAGGAGUCCAAAAUACGUAAGUCGAACACUUACAGGUCUGAUCGGCGGUGGGUGGCGGUGAACCUCCUCCUCGCCCGGCCGGUCGGCACCUGCGCCCCCAUCUCGACAACUUGCGGUGCAGGGGCGUCGCUGGCCACUCGAUCAGUAGCGGCCGGCGCAUUAUCUGGGCGGCCCCGGGGCCGUCGGACCAACGUCGGCGCAGCCUCCUCGUCGUCGUCGUCGUCGUCAACGAUCCGCACGAGCCGACGACGCUUCGGUGCUUGGCUGCUCUCCGCCGGUAGAUCUGCUGGCAGCUCCGGUGUCGGCAAAGGAUCUGCCGGCAAUGGCCUCUUCCCCGCUACCCUCUCCUCGGAGGUCGGGACGGGGCGGGCUUGGUCCUCUUCACUGCUGGUGUAAUGAGUACACCGAGCAGCGUCCUCCUCUGGCGGGUCUUCUCUCGCAGGAUUUUCCAUCCCCGGUGCCAGUGAUACAUACACUGUGCACCGGUCGACAUCGCCGAUCUGCAAAAGCAACAGAGAUGAGUCAGCUGCCGACGAUAUACGAAUGCUAAAACAAAAUAAUCUGCUACAUACCUUUGGUGCUGGUCGUCCUAACUUGAAGGCUUGCACCCGAUCACUGCCACGGAUGAAGCCUCCGUCCGCGAAGUUAAACAGCUCGUUCAACAGCUGUUGUACCUCCGCUUUCUCCAAGAUCUCUGGCCGCAUCCUGGUCGGGUCCACGCUUCCGGCAUACUCGUACGCCGAGUGCACCCUCUUCUGGCAGGGCAUCACCCGACGACAAAUGAAGUUGCCGACCACGCCAAGCCCGUCCAGGCGCGACCAGUCGAUCAGCUUCAUGAGAUCCGCCACUGGACCGUCGAACUCCGGGCGGUCGGUCCAGCUCAUCCUCUUCUCAGGAAUGUAUCCCACGUCGCAGAAUGUGGAGCUGCCCGGUUCCUCCCUGAUGUAGAACCACUUCCUGUACCAUUCGGUCAAGGAAGUGUUCCAUGGACAGUGCAGGUAGCGAUUCUUCAUUCCAUCACGAAGGUUGAGGUAUACUCCACCUGCAACCUUGGAGCCUCCAACUGCUCCCUUCUUCCUCAAGCAGAAAAGAUACCGAAAAAGAUCGAAGUGCGGCUCUAUGCCAACAUAGGCUUCGCACAGGUGGAUGAAAGUGGAAAUGAGGAGAAUUGAGUUCGGGUGCAGAUUGCAAAUCCCGAUCUCAUAGUACAAAAGAAGACCUUGAAGAAAAGGAUGAACAGGAACACCAAAGCCUCUCUUAAUGAAAUCUUCAAAUACGACGAUCUCACCGGCGCGAGGGUCGGGGUAGCUCUCCCCCUCCGGUGCCCUCCAGCCGCCGAGCUCCGGGCCGUGCAGAAGCCCCAUAUCGACAAGGUCACCAAGAGAUUUUGUGGUGCUGCGAGACUUCUUCCACUCCUUGGCCAUCAGUUCGGCCCUCUUCCUGGAGUCGCUCUUCGCCAUUAGAGGUGCGAGUGUGGGCUUGAGUUAGGAAGAUGCAGGCGAUUGAGGGAGAUGAGAGCGGAAGGUUUGAAGGCAAUGGCAGGGUAAGCAGUACAGGCGGAACUAUCAGGCUCUUAUAGCCCGCAACUCCACCUCUCCCACUUCCCGUAUUCUCGGGAAGUGGGCGGGCCAUGCGGCGGAUGCGGCGUUUCGGUUUACAAUGAUUAUAGACAAUUAAUGCGGCGGAUUUUUCGUACCAAUUGAUGGUUUCCUUUUCUCAAACCAUGCAAAGGGCGGCUGCACAGUUGCCAGGCGCAACUUUUCAUGCAUCCGUCUGACACCCCGUCAGGAGGCCUCGUCACGUCAACUUUAACCGGAAAGAUUUUUUCAAAAAAAAAAACAAGAAGACACAUACGCCAGAGAGUCAACAAUCCGGGGACUGCACCGACCACCGGGCAUUCGACGCUCGGGGACUGGUCGCCCAGUCUAUCAGCUCGGAACUUCAAGGACUGCGCCGACCACCGAGCACUCGACGUUCGGGGACUGGUUGUCCAGUCUAUCAGCCGGAAGCUUUAAAGGACUGCGCCGACCACCGAGCACUCGACGCUCGGGGACUGGUCGCCCAGUCUAUCAGCCGGAAGCUUUAAAGGACUGCACCGACCACCGAGCACUCGACGCUCGGGGACUGGUCGCCCAGUCUAUCAGCCAGAAGCUAUAAAGGACUGCACCGACCACCGAGCACUCGACGCUCGGGGACUGGUCGCCCAGUCUAUCAGCCAGAAGCUAUAAAGAACUGCACCGACCACCGAGCACUCGAUGCUCGGGGACUGGUCGUACAGUACAGCAACACAGAAUUCUAAAAAGCACUUGGUGCUUGGUAACUGGUCGAUUGAUCUAUUCAAUUGCAGUCAGACUGGUAAAUUCAACUUUUUAGACCUUGCUACAAGGCUCAUACUUCGCCUUCCAGCAAGCUCGGGGACUACAUCGGUACGAUGCAUCUGGCGAUGCAUCUCAGUUACAGAAUUUCUUUGAGGACUUUUGUUUUGACCCUGGCACCACGUGCCUGCGUCACCUACUACCAGGCUCGGGGACUAAGUGGGCACACUUCACCUUGCGGUGAAUUUGCUUGCUUUUUUGAUGUUUAUACCUUUCAAAAAAAGUAAAGUGGGCACACUUCACCAGGAAAGAAAUCUUUUUUAAUUUAGAGCACCAUGCAUUCUUCGAACAACCUGCUUCUUCGAUGUCAAUGUUGACCAACUGUCUUUUGAGUUGGUCAAAAUACCGUUGCAACUGUUCGGGCAACUUUCCUGAAGACGUCAAGCCUCACUGAUCGAAGAAGCUCAAGACGGCGUGUUACAUCAUAAUAUAUGGUGCUCGGGGACUAGCUGUGGGGGUAUAAACCCCUAUACCCUUACGACUGGACUUGGGUCAGGAGGCUUGGCCCAUUACGAGACAAGUUCAAAGCUUGAUCCGACAACCUGGAGUUCCGCGCAAGGAAACAAGAUGUGGAGAUCAAGCAGGAUUUCUGGUCGGUUAGAAUAGGAAUUGAUAUCGAAUUAUCCAUGGCAAUUGUAACCGACUAGGAUUAGUUUCCAGAUCUGUAACCCUGCCCUCCAGACUAUAUAAGGAGGGGCAAGGGACCCCCCUAGGACAGAUCAUAUUCUCUCAACACAAAUCAAUACAACCAGACGCAGGACGUAGGUAUUACGCCAACUCGGCGGCCGAACCUGGAUAAAAAGCUUGUCCGUGUCUUGCGUCACCAUCGAGUUCGUAGUUUGCGCACCGUCUACCGACAAACUACUACCGUGGGUAUACCCCAAGGUAGACUGCCGACUAGCUUUCGUCGACACAUAUUGCUUAUUAGAGGGACCAUGGGCUAUCAUCAUCAUUUUUUUUCUCAUUUUUUUCUUCUAUUUUUUUUCUUUUUUUUUCAAGUGGGCAGCAAGUACCCCUAAUUCUACUGUCGGACACGUGUCCAUUUUUUCUAGUCAGGUGGGUAUCUUUGUACCCCUAAUUCUACUACGGACACUUGUCCAUUUUUACCUCUCGUCUCACUUAUUUUUUUUUCGAAUCAAAUUUUUGCAUAGUCCCAUGCCUCUAACGCAAUAAUACUUCGGAAGAGUGAAUAUUUUAUAUUUUUAAAACAAAAAGAUCUUGAUCUUGGGAGUAUGAUAAUUCUCUCAACCAAAACUACAAGAAUUAACAAUGGCUUGAACAAAGCAAUUGCCCACAAUUUUAAUAUUUAUAUCUUAUAAGACUCUAGGUAUUAUGUCAAACAGGAUCUCAUUCAUUUUUUUAAUAUAUUUUCAAAAGAUAAAAUCUCCAGAACUCUAGCAAGACUUGGAACAAGUUAAAUAGUAGCUCAGACCUUCUUAUAUCAUGUUUAUCAAUUACCUAGACUUGGAUUAAACUUUCUUUUUAUUUUAUUUAAAACUUAGAAUUACACAAAACUAUUGUAUAUUACUCAAAAGAAAAACUUUGUUUGGUUUCAUGGUUAUGCAUUUUUUUAUUUCCGAAUACUAGUAAAUAAAACCAAGAAAGAAAAGUAAUACUUAUCUAGAUACACGUGGGGGUGCCUCCCCCAAGCUGGAUGUUGACAUAGUCGUUCACUCUUGUGGUCUGCUUGUUCGGUCUCACUCUUCUUAAGCCUGAAAAUCCUGCACAACCCAAAUAGACAACAAAACUUGUGGAGCAGGUUAAGGGUUAGGUAAUUGUCUAGAGCUUAUGAGAGCUUAAUAUGAGAAUUCUAUGAACUCAAUCACAUCAAGUUCCUCUACCAGGUUAUUUUUUGGCUCGAGAUAGAUUUUCAAGCGUUGACCAUUUACCUUAAAAGUGUUACCUAUGUUAUCUUGGAUGGUAAUGGCUCCAUCUGUUGAAGUGUCAAUAACCUUGUAUGGUCCAUCCCACUUACUUCGUAGCUUACCAUGUCCAAAGAGCUUAACUCUUGAAUUGAAUAGUAGAACCUUAUCUCCAGGCUUAAACUCCUUGUGCUUGAUUCUCUUAUAAUGCCAUCAUUUUGUUCUCUCUUUAUAGAUCCUUGAAUUGUGAUAGGCUUUCUCUCUCCAUUCUUCUAGCUUAGAUAGUUGCAUGAGACGAUUCUCGCUAGCAAGGUGGUGAUCCAUGUUCCAUUUCUUGAGUGCCCAAUGAGCCUUAAACUCUACUUCCACAGGCAAAUGACAAGUUUUUCCACAUACAAGUUGAUAAGGUGACAUGCCUAUGGGUGUUUUGAAUGCAGUUCUAUAUGCCCAAAGUGCAUCAGGAAGUUUGUCCUUCCACCCCUUACCCAUCUCAUCUACGGUCUUUUGUAAAAUAUUUUUGAUUUGUUUGUUAGAUGUUUCGGCUUGACCGCUAGUCUGAGGAUGGUAUGGUGUUGCGAUGUUGUGUCGAACUCCAUGAUCGGCUAGGUACUUCCGGAAGAUUUUGUCGAUGAAGUGGGAACCUCCAUCGCUUAUGAUUAUCUGGGGUAUACCAAAGCAAGGAAAGAUUACUUCAUGGAACAUUCUUUUGGCAUGUUUUGAAUCAGCUGAUCGACAAGGUAGGGCUUCUACCCAUUUGGACACGUAGUCCACAGCUACUAAGAUAUACUCGCA